rnacentral:rRNA from 1 species
UACAGAGGUCCCGAGCGUUGUUCGGAUUCACUGGGCGUAAAGGGUGCGUAGGUGGUUGUGCAAGUCUGAUGUGAAAUCUCCGGGCUUAACCCGGAAAUGGCAUUGGAAACUGCAUGGCUAGAGGGUUGGAGGGGGGACUGGAAUACUUGGUGUAGCAGUGAAAUGCGUAGAUAUCGGGAGGAACACCAGUGGCGAAGGCGACUACCUGGCCUGUUCUUGACGCUGAGGCGCGAAAGCUAGGGGAGCAAACGGG